rnacentral:lncRNA from 1 species
GGGGAAUUAAGUGAGAUGAUGUGGAAGAGAGACUUGUGCUCAUUCUUCAGACUUCAACACCUAAGGGCCUGGCAAAUUGAUACUCAGGUUUAAGCACUGGAGUCUGGGUCUCCAGGGUUAACAUGAGUGCUUCGUAGGCAUGGCAGCCUACUUGAAAUCCGGGAACUGUGGGAUUUGAUGAGGAUGGGGAACGCCAAGGGAAACAGGGUACUCAGAGCACGCUGGUCAACAAGCCAACAGAACAGUGGCCUCUGUGCCCAGUAAACACGCUGGUGAGCAGCAGUGAAGUAUGACACCUAAGAUCAACUUCUGUCCUGCAUGUGUGUGUGCACAUACACAUAUCCAUAUUUCACACACACCCCCAUACAUAUGCAUACAUGGGAAAAGAAGGAGAAAGAAGACUGACUAGCAGCCGCAUGUCGAGGAGAGCAGGAUCUUAUCUUCGCAGUGUUUCCCUGUGGUAUUUACUGCCCUUGUUAUGGUCGUUGAUUCUAGAACUUGCCAGCCAGUGGGUAGAUGAGGCUGAACCAAUACAUACUGGGUCUGCAUGUGGAAGAAUGAGGCUUGCAGCCAACGGCCGUCCACAUCUCUGAUGAGGAUCAGACACAAUGGAUCUGUUGACUCUUAAUUCCAUUCUCUUUCAGAGCACAUGGAAAUUGAAGCCAUGUGGGACUUAACAAGAGAUCAAAUGGUAUCUUAAACAUCCCAGGGCAGCUGCCCUGUCCCCAGAGCCUGGGGCGGCCUCUGUGAAGGGGCCCCUCUUUCCUGGUGUUCUGGGUCCCUCUCCUCCCAGCUCCACUGCAGGACAGGA